UACGUAGGGGGCAAGCGUUGUCCGGAUUUAUUGGGCGUAAAGAGCGUGUAGGCGGCCAGACAGGUCCGUUGUGAAAACUCGAGGCUCAACCUCGAGAUGUCGAUGGAAACCGUCUGGCUAGAGUCCGGAAGAGGAGUGUGGAAUUCCUGGUGUAGCGGUGAAAUGCGCAGAUAUCAGGAAGAACACGCGUGGCGAAGGCGGCUCUCUGGGACGGUACUGACGCUGAGACGCGAAAGCGUGGGGAGCGAACAGG
rnacentral:rRNA from 1 species